UGGCUGUGGCUAUAAAAAGGUAUCAUGAGAAAUCCUUGUGGUGUUGUUCUGUACCUUGACUGUGGUGGUGGCCAUACAAAUCAAAGAAGGUAAAUAUAAACCUAAACCACAAUGAAAUAUCACCUCAUAUCCAUUCAGAUGACUACUGUUAAAAAAAAAA